AGCAACUUAAAAACGAUUUGCCAAAAACAAAAUGUGAAGGACUGUGCCCAUAGCUUCUACCUAUUUUACUUCCAUCUGCUGAACGUGUACCAUGUAAAGUGCCAAGUACACCUGGUAACACUAUAUAAAUAUCACCAACCUCCUCUAGAUUAUAACCUCAUUUGAGCAGGGUUCUCAUCAACCUAUUGUUCCUGUAACAAUUUCUAAUUGUCUCAUUUACUGUUACAUGUCCCCCUUUUAUAAUAUUGUAAAACGCUGUGGAAUAAGUUGGUGCUAUAUAAAUGACAAAAAU